UUUGAACUUAUUUUUUAAGAUGCAAAUGAUUCAUAUUAUGGAAAGAGAAACCGACAUUGUUUUGGUGAAGAAAAAAAAGUAUGGUAAGAGAAACGAAGAUAGAGAGAGAGAAGACACCACAUCCACCACUGUAGUUCUUCUCCAGCUUCGGCUCGCUCUCCUUCCUUCCCGACCCCACCCCACCCCACUCCUCUUCUCUCCUUCUUCUCUCUUUUUCUGCUGCUACGCCGGAGUUCUGUUACCCCUUGUAGUAGCGAUAAGACCAUUCCCCACCAUCCGAAUUUAUAUGCUAGUGUGCUCUAAAAGUUGUAAGUUAUAUUAUUUGUUUGUUAUAAGUUGGGUCAUCAUACAAGAACAAAAAGGUUAUCAUCCAAUUCCAAUUUGUACUAUUGCUCUGUUUUUUGUUGAUGUGCAGAGCAUUAUGUGUUGGAGAAUUUUCAAAAUAGGUUUUCAAAAAUUAUUGUUUAGUUUUUGGGUGUUUUUAAAACCUUCAUUGUUUUUCUUUAGAAAGCUUGAAAUAAGCUUGGGGACUUUGUCCCACAUCAGAAAGAGAAGAAACAUGGAGCACUUAAUAAAGUGCUACAUGAAAUAUUCUUUUGAAUAUGAAAUUAUAGGAUGGAUACUAGUGUACAUGCACUCGCACCGCAAAUUCGCAUAUGCACAUACACAUGCACACGCGCGCGUGGCGUGGGCAGUGGACUGUGUAAUGUUUGAUGGUGCACGGACGCAUCGGUGCCAUUAGGGCGCUUUCCUAUGUGCAUCGGACAGGUUGGAGCGAUGACGUGGAUCCGAUGUGGCAUGGGUGACGUGGAAUAUAGUCAGCUCCGUGUGGCAGUGAUGUGGAGUUCGUUGGCGAUGAACCAACCAACCGAUGGAACGGUUGCGUGCCCGAUCUAGAACAGUUUGAUCAUAGCUGCUGAUUGGAGAUGUGCGCAAUUGUACGUAUGAGAUGACACUUGGUCGUGAUUAGGUAUGAUCAGUCAAGGCAUCUAUUCGUUGUGAGAAUGAUUUACACCAUAGAUCGUCAAUCAAACAGUCAGAUCUGAUCGGAUGCGAUCAAGGGACAUGACUAUUCGAUUAGAUGCAUCAAGGCCUAUAAACAGACUAUGAAAACAGCCAUUUCAAUUCAUCCAAAUUUCAGAAAGCAUUCCUGUAAUUCUCUCUCUCUCUCUCUCCCUCUCGCUUUAGAAUUUUCGAUCAAGAGUUUCUUAAUGCUUUGUUUUUGGAAUAUAUGUUUAGUUGAUUGAUGAAGGAACCCUCUAGCUAUCAGUUUUGUGAAAGAUUGCCUCACAAACUAUUAGUUUACUGAUGUUGGACAAUAUUGCAGACAUUUAAUAAGAUUCAGAGACUGUGUAGCAAAACUCAUGGAAAAGUUGUUGGCGAUUUGAUGACACCUGCUCCACUUGUUGUUUGUGAAACCACCAAUCUUGAAGAUGCUGUCAGGUUUUGCAAGCUUGUGUCGAUUUGAAGCUUGGGAGCUCUCUACUUGAUUUUGAAUGCCAUUUCGACGAAGCCCUUGAGAAGAAGAUGCGAUGAGUUGAGUUGUUUUGUUAUGUAGGUAGAUAUAACUCUAAUUAUAAUCUGUUCGUUGAAUAGUUGAAUGCUACAAAUAAUGCUUAUGUCACUAGCCUUAUAAAUUGGAAAUGACACUUUUGAAAACUCUGUCAGUUUAUGAUAUACAAUCAAGAUAUUACAUACUAAUAAAUCAGAGCAUGGUAUUUUUUUGUUAUU